rnacentral:rRNA from 1 species
CUACGGGCGGCUGCAGUCGAGAGUCUUCCACAAUGGGCGAAAGCCUGAUGGAGCGACGCCGCGUGAAUGAUGAAGGGCUUCGGCCUGUAAAAUUCUUUUCUCCGUGAGAAAUCCGAGUCAAAUCGGUAUGAUGUUAGCGGAGGAAUAAGGGGUCGCUAAACUCGUGCCAGCAGCAGCGGUAAUACGAGUGCCCCGAGCGUUAUCCGGAAUCACUGGGCGUAAAGGGUGUGUAGGAGGUCGCGUUAGUCUUGUCUUAAAGGUUUCGGCUUAACCGAAAACAUGGACAGGAAACGGCGCGACUAGAGAGCGCGAGAGGUAUAUGGAACUCAUGGUGUAGGGGUGAAAUCCGUUGAUAUCAUGGGGAACACCAAAGGCGAAGGCAAUAUACUGGCGCGUUUCUGACUCUGAAACACGAAAGCGUGGGGAUCAAAAAGGAUUAGAUACCCUCGUAGUC